UACGUAGGGUGCAAGCGUUGUCCGGAAUUAUUGGGCGUAAAGAGCUCGUAGGCGGUCUGUCGCGUCGAAUGUGAAAACCCGGGACUCAACUCCGGGCCUGCAUUCGAUACGGGCAGACUAGAGUUCGGUAGGGGAGACUGGAAUUCCUGGUGUAGCGGUGAAAUGCGCAGAUAUCAGGAGGAACACCGGUGGCGAAGGCGGGUCUCUGGGCCGAUACUGACGUUGAGGAGCGAAAGCGUGGGGAGCGAACAGG
rnacentral:rRNA from 1 species